GGAUAAUGCUGCCCUACCUGAAUUGAUUAGAGCAGGGACGCCUCCUCUCUUCCCUAAGAUGGAGUGUGUCUCUGCAGCUCCUCAAUGCUGAAGUGGAAGAAAUCUGUAUUUAACAACUAGACAGAGAUCCCCCCCCUUUUUUUGGAGACCAUCAAGCAUGCAGCGGGAGUAAUUUUCUCAUACAAAUGCGGUCGCUGUGUUUUUUCGCUGUUCCUGCAUUUCUCUGAACCUGGGGGAAACAAAUUUGGGGCAUCUGUGUGAAACUUAAAUCAAUUUUUACACCAUUAGCUCCACAUACUGCUAUUCCGGCUUAUACUCAGGCGCUCACAUUUUGGUUUUUUUUGGAUGAUACUCAUGCAACAAUGGGAGUCAUACACACAGAUGGGUGACAAAUAAGUGAAGUUUUGCACCCCCAUUCUCCAGAACAGUUUCAGGGCUCCUUGCUUUGGAGUCUCCAAGUCAGUGCACUCUACAGGAUGGAGGAACACCAUUCAUCUUCCUUCACCAUCUCAUCCAUUAGCAUCAUGUUUGAACUUCAAAUCUUUCAGUGACCCCCUACAGAGGGAGGGAUUGUAUUCCUGCAAGACGCAGCUCACAACAGGAGGCCACGAAGCUGACAUUUAUCCAUUUUUCAUGAACAGAGCCAUAUAAUAACAACCCCAAGGGUCAAUGCAGCCAGCAGAGCAGACCAAGGCAGAGCCGAUGGCCCAGGGCCCAGAGGCCCACUCUAACGACCACAGCAUGCUUUGCUGUUGGCAGCAUGGAGUGCACGGAGAGCAGGGAGAACCCUGCAAUACAGAUGAACUUCUUUUACACAUAGAAGCUACGGUAGCUUUAGCUAUCUGAAUGUCUCUGGUGCUUAUAUGAAUAUAAAGCCGAAAUACAUGCUUAUGUAAUAAAGUGGAUAUCUGAAAGGGGCAGCACAAAGGAACACACACCGAGAAAAUAACAAAAUAGCAAACAGAUGCUUGGACGGACUUGGACAACAAGUAAAUGCACAGUACACAAACUAACAAUAAUUAUCAUUAAAAUUCUCAUUACUUUUCCCCUCUUUGCAAUUCUAGCCAAAGUAAUAAACAGUGCACCCGGGUUCUACCUGGAGAGGAGACACAUUUUUCCACCAGUCACAAGCUUUUACUGCUUUAUUUGAAACUAAAUAAGGAUUUUGCUUUUCACUUGUAGCAAAUAUUUCCACAUUAAAUAGUACACACAGAGUUCAUUUUCAAGCUUGAGAUCUUUUCACUGGGUAGCACACGGUACACCUCUCAAAAUAGACAAACACUUCAGCAAGUUACCUUGAGAAAGCACGGAGAGAGUUCAAACACUAUGGAAAGAAGGCAAUUUUCUAUCAGAGAUAAGCAGAUAAGUGUCCCCAGCUGGAAGUUGGGAGUCUGGCUGGCUUGUUUACCUAAGAAAAUGGACUAACACGCUGAACUUCAAAUGAACCCCAUCGAAUGCAGACACAUCUGCCGCAAGCCUAAAACAGACACUGUGGGCGGAAAAAUGAUGGAUGUCAAUCAUCGCAGCUAAAGACGACCGGUGCAUAUUAUGAACUAACAGACAUUAUUGUUGCACACAGAGCUGCAUCAAGACAAAAAUAUAUUCUAGAUAGAUAUAUACUUUAUUGAUC